rnacentral:rRNA from 1 species
UACGUAGGUGGCGAGCGUUGUCCGGAUUUACUGGGCGUAAAGGGAGCGUAGGCGGGCUUUUAAGUGAGAUGUGAAAUACUCGGGCUCAACUUGAGUGCUGCAUUUCAAACUGGAAGUCUAGAGUGCAGGAGAGGAGAAUGGAAUUCCUAGUGUAGCGGUGAAAUGCGUAGAGAUUAGGAAGAACACCGGUGGCGAAAGCGGCUCUCUGGCCUGUAACUGACACUGAGGCUCGAAAGCGUGGGGAGCAAACAGG